rnacentral:rRNA from 1 species
GACGAACGCUGGCGGCGUGCUUAACACAUGCAAGUCGAACGGAAAGGCCCUGCUUUUGUGGGGUGCUCGAGUGGCGAACGGGUGAGUAACACGUGAGUAACCUGCCCUUGACUUUGGGAUAACUUCAGGAAACUGGGGCUAAUACCGGAUAGGAGCUCCUGCUGCAUGGUGGGGGUUGGAAAGUUUCGGCGGUUGGGGAUGGACUCGCGGCUUAUCAGCUUGUUGGUGGGGUAGUGGCUUACCAAGGCUUUGACGGGUAGCCGGCCUGAGAGGGUGACCGGCCACAUUGGGACUGAGAUACGGCCCAGACUCCUACGGGAGGCAGCAGUGGGGAAUAUUGCACAAUGGGCGGAAGCCUGAUGCAGCAACGCCGCGUGCGGGAUGACGGCCUUCGGGUUGUAAACCGCUUUCGCCAGUGACGAAGCGUGGGUGACGGUAAUGGGUAAAGAAGCACCGGCUAACUACGUG